GCUGAAAUAGCUCAGUUAGGAGAGUGUUAGACUUAAGAUCUGAAGGUCCCUGGUUCUAUCCCAGUUUUCAGCA